AUCCAGCUGACGAGACCCAAAUUGGACGAAACGACCGUCAAACUGGAC
rnacentral:hammerhead_ribozyme from 1 species